rnacentral:lncRNA from 10 species
UUUGAGAAAGCUGUGAAUGGUUUCCUUGCUGAUCUAUUUACCAAGUGGAAGGUACAUUUCUUCUUACACACUAAGUCUCAUUAUGUAAACAUUACUCAAUCAGAUUUUUAAAAUGCACUGUUUUUAUUAAAUUGCCCUAAAUUGAGCUAUUUUAGGUAAAACCCGGACUCCAGAUUUAAAUUACCCUAAUAAUCUCAAUUUAUGAGAAUUUAUGAAAAACACAAAGCUAACAUCACACUCAAUGGUAAAAGACUGAAAACUUUCCCCCAAGAUCAGUAACAAGGAGAAGAACUGUAGUCAUGAAGUGACAGUGGUCCUGUUUUCUAGAACUUUCUAUGAUGCAAAAUCUGUUGAUGAAUUUCCUGAAAUAAACCGAGCCUCAAUUCGACAGGAUCACAAGGGGAGAUUCUAUGAAGACUUUUACAAAGUGGUGGUGCAGAAUGAGAGAAGAGAAGAAUGGACUUCACUUCUCGUAACCAUUAAAAAACUCUUCAUCCAGUAUCCAGUGUUGGUGCGACUGGAACAGGCAGAGGGCUUUCCUCAAGGAGAUAAUUCUACCUCAGCACAAGGAAACUACCUGGAGGCCAUCAAUCUGUCAUUCAAUGUGUUUGAUAAGCACUACAUCAACCGCAACUUUGAC